rnacentral:rRNA from 1 species
AAUGGACGCAAGUCUGACCCAGCCAUGCCGCGUGAAGGAUGACGGCCCUAUGGGUUGUAAACUUCUUUUGUACGGGAAAAAACCUUCGAACGUGUUCGAAGCUGAUGGUACCGUAAGAAUAAGCAUCGGCUAACUCCGUGCCAGCAGCCGCGGUAAUACGGAGGAUGCAANCGUUAUCCGGAUUCAUUGGGUUUAAAGGGUGCGUAGGCGGGAUAAUAAGUCAGUGGUGAAAGCCUACAGCUUAACUGUAGAACUGCCAUUGAUACUGUUAACCUUGAGUACAAUUGAAGUGGGCGGAAUGUGUCAUGUAGCGGUGAAAUGCUUAGAUAUGACACAGAACACCGAUAGCGAAGGCAGCUCACUAAGCUGUAACUGACGCUGAGGCACGAAAGCGUGGGGAUCAAA